rnacentral:lncRNA from 1 species
UCAGAGUGAAGGGAAAUAUCCAAAAGGCCCUGGAGAACAGGUGACUGGUAACGAAGCCAAAGCAGGAUGAGGGGCCUGCCACCUGCACGGCACUGAGGUGCAGCGCUCAGGAGCCAAAUGGAAAUGUCGGAGAAACAUUGGAACCGGAAACCACGCGUCCCUGAGAAGGGGUUAAAUGAGGACCAUAAAACCACAAAGAAAGGAGGAGAAGAUGGCUGAACACCACCAGUCAAAACCGGUUGAAGGCAACACGGCAGUCUGAUUUGACCUGACAUGGACACCACAGCCCAUUAUGCGCUCAUUGUAAUAUAUUACCAUAUUAUAGAACACACCCACCGACGCCAUGACAGUUUACAACUGCCAUGGCAACAGCAGGACAUAAC